GGAAUGAUGGUGACUUAAACCCUCACCAGAGUACCAAUUGGAGGGCAAGUCUGGUGCCAGCAGCCGCGGUAAUUCCAGCUCCAAUAGCGUAUAUUAAACUUGUUGCAGUUAAAAAGCUCGUAGUUGAAUUUCAGCGUUUCGCGUGUGCCUCUUUUGGCCCAUCUCGUCUCGCUUUUUUUAUUACUUUGAGAAAAUUAGAGUGUUUCAAGCAGGCUUUUGUCUUGAAUACUUGAGCAUGGAAUAAUAGAGUAGGACCUUGGUUCUAUUUUGUUGGUUUUGUUACCUUGGUAAUGGUUAAUAGGAACGGUUGGGGGCAUUCGUAUUUAACUGUCAGAGGUGAAAUUCUUAG
rnacentral:rRNA from 1 species